rnacentral:tRNA from 1 species
UAUUAAAUAACCUAAGAAAGGUUUUGGAUUUUUAAUCCAACUAUAAUGAUAACAUUUUUAAUGA